AAUCAAGUAAACUAUGCAUGUCAUGAUUAACCUUAGCCCAUUUCACUGUAAGCCCACAACACUUAAACUUACUCAAAUUAGGUAAGAAACACACAUCUGUCUUUCGCCAACAUAAUGUAGGCUGUAGAGUAGUCCCCCUCCAUGAUGAACAUGAAGAGGGUUGUCAAACAAAGGGGCCUAACAAAAGAAAUCCGAUACCACCUUAUCCUGAAUCCCAUACAAUCUCAACACUCUUCACCUUUAAUCGUCACCCACAACAAAG
rnacentral:lncRNA from 1 species